rnacentral:lncRNA from 1 species
AUCUCUCUCAAGUUUCAACUCUCCUCUCUCUCUCUCUCUCAGUGUUAAUUCAGAAUCAUAAAUCUGAAUCAAAAACCAAAUUGUUAUUCAAGCUUGUUCUCUGUAAUCAUCUUCAUCGUUUCUACAAAAACACACACAGUGAAUAUGUGAGAGAGAUUGUUUGUUAGAUAGAGAAACAUGUUGGUGAACGGACUUCCGAUCUAAGAUUCUAGCAAGCGCACUGAUCUUUUUCGGCAAAUCUGAAUCACCACCCCAACCACUACCUCAACGUUUAAAUCUGCAGGUGGUGACACAGAUCUGAAGGUGGAGAUCUUGGAAAACUCUGAAAACCUCAAAUUCGACAUCCUCUAAACACCCGGUACGGAACGAAAUCCUCAGAUCUAGAAACCUCAGAUCUGAAAUCCUCUGCAGGCGGUAAACAGAUUUGUGGUCGAAUUGAAGCUGAAGAACAUGGUUGGCAGUGUUGAUUGUUGCGAGAAACAAGUUUUUUUUUUCGUAAUUUUUUUUGAGAAGGUAAUCGCUUUUGAUUGUUGCGAGAUUAUUGUGAGUUUGUAAGGGUUGGAUGAAUAAAGUUCUUGAUUGAAGAUUGAAAUUUCAUUAAAGUUCAUUGGUUGA